rnacentral:rRNA from 1 species
GAAGGCUAGGGUAGCGAAAGGGAUUAGAUACCCCUGUAGUCCUAGCAGUAAACGGUGCACGCUUGGUGUGAGGGGAAUCGACCCCCCUUGUGCCGGAGCUAACGCGUUAAGCGUGCCGCCUGGGAAGUACGGUCGCAAGACUAAAACUCAAAGAAAUUGACGGGGACCCGCACAAGCGGUGGAGUAUGUGGCUUAAUUCGAUGCAACGCGAAGAACCUUACCAAGGCUUGACAUGCAUCUCUAAACACGUGAAAGCGUGUGACCCUUCGGGGAAUUUGCACAGGUGCUGCAUGGCCGUCGUCAGCUCGUGUCGUGAGAUGUUGGGUUAAGUCCCGCAACGAGCGCAACCCUUGUGAUUAGUUGCCAGCACGUCAAGGUGGGAACUCUAGUCAGACUGCCCAGAUCAACUGGGAGGAAGGUGGGGACGACGUCAGGUCAGUAUGGCCCUUACGCCUUGGGCUGCACACGUACUACAAUGCCCAGCACAAUGAGAACCGAUGCCGCGAGGUGGAGGAAAUCUGUAAAACUGGGCUCAGUUCGGAUUGGAGGCUGCAACUCGCCUCCAUGAAGUUGGAAUCGCUAGUAAUGGGGCAUCAUCUACGGCCCCGUGAAUACGUUCCCGGGUCUUGUACACACCGCCCGUCACAUCAUGGAAGCCGGUCGCACCCGAAGUGCCCGUACCAACCGCAAGGGGGUAGGGUCCUAAGGUGUAGCUGGUAACUGGGAUGAAGUCGUAACAAGGUAACC